rnacentral:rRNA from 1 species
UUCCUCUGUUAAAUUAACGCUAGCGGGCUGCUUUACACACGCAAGUUGAAGGGCUGCACGAGAGAAAGUUGCUCUUUUUGUUGAGAAUCGGCGGAGGGGUGAUUAAUGUAUGGAGAUCUGCCAGAUAGAGGGGGUAUAAUUCUCGGAAGAGGUGGUUAUUACGCCAUAAUCUUUCGGGAGAAAAGCAGGGAUUCUUCGGAACCUGUCACUAUCGGAUGAAGCCCAUAUGGGAUUAGCUAGUAGGUGGGGUAAAGGGCUCACCAAGGCAACGAUCUCGUAGCUGGUCUGAGAGGAUGAUCCACCCACACUGGGACUGAGACACGGCCCCAGACUCUACGGGAAGGCAGCAUGGGGAAUUUUGCACAAUGGGGGCAACCCUGAUCCAGCCAUGCCGCGUGUAUGAAGAAGGCCCUUAGGGGUGUAAAAUUAUUUUUGGCAGAGAAGAAGAUGAUAUCUCUUAAUACCAGAUCAAUUGACGUUACUCCGCAGAAGUAGCACCGGCUAACUCCGUGCCAGCAGCCGCGGUAAUACGGAGGGUGCAAGCGUUAAUCGGAAUUACUGGGCUAAAGCGCAGGUAGGCGGUUAAGUAAGUAAGAUGUGAAAUCCCAGAGCUCAACUUGGGAAUUGCAUUUUAAACUGGUGAGCUAGAGUAUGUUAGAGGGGGGUAGAAUUCCAUGUGUAGGCAUGAAAAGGGUAGAAUAUGGGAGGGAAUACCGGUGGGGAAGGGCAGCCCCCUGGAGAUAAUACUGACGCUCAGAUCCGAAAAGCGUGGGGAGCAAAACAGGAUUAGAUACCCUGGUAGUCCACGCCGUAAACGAUGUCGAUUUAGAUGUUGGGGUCGUGAGGCCUGAGUUGCGCAGCUAACGCGUAAUUGACCGCCUGGGAGUAACGUGCACAUGG